CGGCUGGCGUCAGUGAGCCGCGCGCGGAGUCACGGGACGAACCGCCCACAAUGUAACACCCAAUCAGUUACAGACGAUGACCGUGGGAGAACUAAUUACGGAGAUGAUAGGCCACCCAAAGGUAUCACCAUCAGUAAAUAUAUAUUUCGAAUGAUAUGUUUGUGUGGCGAAUCUACAGGCAUACUGAGCAGGAAACGGGCAAGAGCCGUAUAGAAGAAGAAAUUGCAUCAAGAAAGGAAUUUGUGCAGGUCCUUCCAGUGAGAGUUGUCCUUAUGUUCAAUCAAAGAGGUAGAUUCUUCCAUUAAUUCAAACGGGAACGAGAAUACAGUAGACCCAGAGGCGCGUCUCUUCGUGCCACGCAAAGGAUACAAACCUGAGAAGCGUCUUGAAAUGAGCAUGACGAUUUGAUGUGUCGCAACUUGGAAUUUGUGCGAUUUCAUGCAAUUUAUUAGCACAAAUACCUGCGUGGAACAGUCGAACGAUCUCACAAUUUGUGCACUUGGCCUUCUUCCUUUGUAACUCAAGAGACUCAAUCGCAAGGGGUAAGCAAUUGCCCUACGGGGCAGCAAUUGCCCUACGGCACAGUGUACCGGUACUUGGACCAACCACUAAAUGAACUUCUAUGCUCAUCCAAAGCCUUCUGUGGACGUCCGUUUGCAAUCGAAUCUUUAUGUUGUAAUGUUUGAAACUGGGAAAUUUGUGAAAACCUGAUCGUCCCUACCAGCUUACGAGUCCUACUUUGCCGCGCAUUGCCGCGUGAGGCAGUACUAUAGUCCAGGAGUUCACGCUUCAUGAGGCACCUUGACGCCUUUAUGAAUCGGGAGGCAUACGUACAGCAGACAGACUCACACUUACGGCAAAAGAUGUUGCGUGAAUAGACCACUAGUAGGUGUGAAUAGACAACUAAACCGCUGCUGAUCCCAUGCCAUUCGUUUUUUUCUAAUUCCGGGUAAUAUAUUAUCUGAAAGCAAUAGCCAUACCUUGUAAAUAGUCCCCGACCAGAUACUAGCUGGAAGGAAGCCAAACACUACAGAAUAAAAAAGCGAAUAGGGCAG
rnacentral:lncRNA from 1 species